rnacentral:rRNA from 1 species
UACGUAGGGUGCAAGCGUUGUCCGGAAUUAUGGCGUAAAGAGCUCGUAGGCGGUUCGUCGCGUCGGCUGUGAAAACCUGAGGCUCAACCUCAGGCCUGCAGUCGAUACGGGCGGACUUGAGUACUGCAGGGGAGACUGGAAUUCCUGGUGUAGCGGUGAAAUGCGCAGAUAUCAGGAGGAACACCGGUGGCGAAGGCGGGUCUCUGGGCCGAUACUGACGCUGAGGAGCGAAAGCGUGGGGAGCGAACAGG